UACGUAGGGUGCAAGCGUUAAUCGGAAUUACUGGGCGUAAAGAGCGCGCAGGCGGUCGUGCAAGUCGCGUGUGAAAGCCCCCGGCUCAACUGGGGAGGGUCACGCGAUACUGCUCGACUCGAAGGCAGGAGAGGGAAGUGGAAUUCCCGGUGUAGUGGUGAAAUGCGUAGAUAUCGGGAGGAACACCAGUGGCGAAGGCGGCCGACUGGGCCGACCCUGACGCUGAGGCGCGAAGGCGUGGGGAGCGAACGGG
rnacentral:rRNA from 1 species